rnacentral:lncRNA from 1 species
CAAUAGCUUAUGCAUGCAGGCAGCAUAAAUAAGUUAAAAUAUAUCACCUAGGCAGCAAAUGUACACAUGAGAGGGUAGAGAUGAGAAACAGUGCGAAGGUCAAACUUUAGAAAGAACAGUUAACCCUGAGCUGCUGACAAAGAAGCCUUGAUUGUUUUAUUGGAGUAAGUUAAGAGUCAAAGGUCAGGGAGAAGAAAUGGGUAUUGUACUUGACCAAGAAUAAAGGGAAUCUGAAAUGCAGGGAAAGGACCUAAUGUCUGCUGCAUAGAGACGUAGACCAGAGAGCACGUUCCAUGACAAGGCCUUGGUUGGGAUACCCUACUGUUCUCCUUUGCUGAAACAUCUCUAGGGCCUUUCUAGAAGGGCAAGUAAAUAAUAUCAGUACCAGGGGAUUCUGGAAUGUCAGUGAAACAUUCAACAUCACCAUGGAUUGUUUUCAUUGUCUUUAGGAAAACAGAGCACCAUCAAUGGAUCUGGGUUCUGGGAAAACCACAUUUAUUCUUUCUUUCAUUCUUGAACAGAUGUUUAUUGAGUAGCUAUUUAAAUACCAGGUGUAACAGGUGCUGAGAGUGGAAAGAUGAAAACAAAAAAGACACUUCUGAACCACAAUGGAGUCACAUUUUGGUGGGAAAGACAAAUAUAUUAGCCAUCUCUUUGUAGAUUUUUCAAGAAGAUAAAGGCUUGAGAACCUUUGAAGACAAAAAUGUAAAUGUGGCCUGUGAAAGAGUCUGCAAGUUUUCUCCAAUAUACCUUCUUCCGUUCUUCCUAGUAAUGUUAAUAGAACUUCUGAUAUUCAGCUGGGCACAAUGCUACCUGGAAUGAAGACCACAUUUCUCGCCACCCACUCAGCUAGGUGGGCCUUGUAAGUAAGUGAUGGCCAAGAGAUGUAAGAUGUUUCAUUUGAGACUUCUGAGACACGUCCGUAAAGCGGAAGGAUGCCCACUGCUUUAUUCCUUCUCCUUCCUGCUGGCCAGAAUGUGGACAGAGUGAGGGCUUGGACAGCCAAUGUGGACGGAGGUAGAGUAUCCAGGAAAGUGAAGCAGCAAAGUUGAAGGAGCCUGGGGCUCUCACGGCUUCCGGGAACUGCUAUACCAGCCCUAAACUGCAUUUUUGAUGAUGUUGUUGUUAAUGAGUCGAACCUUAUGUAAUUAAGCCCCUGUUAAUUUGGGGCUUCUAAUUGUAGCCAAUAGUGGCAUAAACAGCCCUAAAAUCCUUACAGGUUUUAUAUACUUGUCAUGGAUUCUAUGAUUCUAGGUUCAGGUUCUUUUUUUUUUUUUUACCUAUAGGUGUCUGAUUGUUCUAACACCAUUUUUUGGAAAGGCUAUCCUUCCUUUGUUGAAUUACUCUUGCACCUUUACCAAAAAUCAGCUGGGCAUAUUUGUGUGGGUCUAUUUAGUCCAUUCCUUUUUACUACUGAAUAGCAUUCUAUUGUAUGGAUAUACCACAAUGUCUUUAUCCAUUCACCCAUUGGACAUUUGGUUGUUUUUUGCUUUUGGCUGUUAUGACUAAAGCUGCC